CUCUUCUCCUUGCUCUUCUCCUUUUCCUUUGGAGCUUGCUUCUCUUUGGCUGAAGGCAAGAGCUUGGGCUUGGAGGAGAUUCCUUUCACUGGCUAGAUUAAAGAUUACUGUAGCGAGCUUUAGUUCGCAAGACUUGGUGAACCCGACUCUGUUGCUUGGAGCCAGUAUUUCCUCUGUCUGUAAUUCGUAUUUCCGCGUUUUUGGUACAUCUCCAUUUCCUGGCUCGCCCAGCUAGGAGGAGUAAGUCCUAGCCAUGUGCACAUGUUUCUGUAGUAGCGCUACCUCUCGACUGCGGUCGAAGAUCCGGCUUCGGUUGUUGAUAUUCUGUUCUGUUCUGUUCUGUUCCGACUUCACAGUCGAUGAUCCAGCCUCACGUUGUUGAUUUCUGUUAUUAGCCAGGGUGAUGUACAUGACUGAAUCUGCGUGUUUUCCAUAUUUUUGGAUUAUUUCUGUAUUCUGUGUGUUUUUUGUAUUCUGUAUGAAGUAUGAUAUAGUAUUCUGCAAUAUCUGCUUUAUCUGUUGUUUCUGCGACCCUACUGGGCCCUUGUGGCUCAUACACUCUGUGAACUCUGUUCUCGCAGGAGAAGAUCAAGUCUAGGAUCGGGGGGUGUCUGGGAGUGUAUUUUCCGCUGUUAUCAGUAUCUCUGUAGUACACUUUUCUGUGAGUGUAAGGCUUGUAUUCUGACCGUAUUUAUGUUUUGUAAACUGUUGGGUUCGUCUUUGUGUUCUGUAGGGCUGCUAAAGCCCGUACUUGUAAUAUUUCAGUUUCUAGUAUCCUAUUUGUGCUUC